CUCAGCCGCCGCCACCGGAACCGUCGCCUUCUCCAUCUCCGGGGAAAGAGGGAGGGCGCGGACGGGGGAGGGGCGUGGGGGCUACGCUCUACCGCGACUUCGGCCGCACCGGGGCCGACACAGCGCUCGGUGCCGCCUCCGCCGCCACCGCCUCGGUCACCUCUACUGCCGCCGCCGCCGCCGCCGCUCCGCCAGCUCUCACCUCGUCUCGCGAUACUAAGGGCGGGGAGCCUGACGAUGGGAGGGAGGGAGAGGGAGGGAGCGUGAGGGAGCAAGAGGGGGGUGGGGGAAGCGAAGAGGGAGACCCGGGUGGCCGGAGAUCCAGCAGAGGGGAGACUACCGAGAGUCGGGGGAAGUGUGCCUAGGGCGACUUCCGAUGGGGGGGACGGCGGGGACAGAGGAGGGCCGCGGUGAUUGCCGUAGCGCCCGCUAGUACCCGGAUCGCUUCUCUUUCCUCGCUAUUUCCCCCACACACAACCCUUCAGACCUCCCUUCUUCCUUCCUCGCUGGUGUAUAGAACGCAGCCGCAGGCGGAAGUACAAGUGACGCCAUCAGCCGUCGCCUGAGUGGUGGCGCGCGGGUGGCCGAAAGACGAAAGUGAGACUUAGAGGGCCGGGUCUCCGGCCUUCGCGAGCGGGCGGUGCUGCGGUGCAUGGGGCGGGCGGCUGAGCGGGCGGACUGGAGCGGAGCAGCCCGGGCCGGGUGGGAGCGGGUACGGAAGCUCGGGCCAGACGCUUUGUUAGCAGGAGGCCCGGACANNNNNNNNNNNNNNNNNNNNNNNNNNNNNNNNNNNNNNNNNNNNNNNNNNNNNNNNNNNNNNNNNNNNNNNNNNNNNNNNNNNNNNNNNNNNNNNNNNNUACGGAAGCUCGGGCCAGACGCUUUGUUAGCAGGAGGCCCGGACAGCCUGAUCCGGGAGGUGGGGCCUGGUUCUGGACUGCCGUACGUAGUUUCGUUCCUGGCCAUUUUUUCCACCGCCAAAUGGCUUAAUGAAGUCGCUUCCAUCCUCACUCUUUCUCCAUCAACCUGAAGCUAGUGAGUAUGUUGAAGAUGCCAGAGCCAGAGAAAGAUCAUGGGUGGCUAAAUUACUAUUUGGAAUACAGAUACUUCCAAAUUAGAAACACUCCUUUUUUGGACUUCUUGUACAAGAGAAAAUUGAGAUUUGAGAAUUUAUAUGUUCCAGAGCUUGAAUGAUCGUGACUAACCCAGAAAUUGGUAUUGGAAGUGGAGUACUGCUAAAACAGUAACCUAAAAUAUGUUACAUUGCCUUGGUGAUGAUGCAGCAGAUGUUAGAGAUACUGGCAUCAGAGAAUGGAAGGAGACCCAUGUUUUGCAGUGGCAAAAGCGGUGUUUAAACUUAUCCAUGAUAAUUGAAAAGCAUGUUAUCUACCUAUUGAAAUUGUGACCCAGUAAUCAGAGGAAAUAGUUGAAAAGAGUCAAAGUAAUACUGUAUUUUGAGUUUUAGUAAGAUAAGCUCAGAAAACAGUUACAGAAAUGAACAUGCACAAAAGUAUUUGGAAAGAUUAGAAAAACAGUUUUUCUAGAUCUUGAAGAGUAAAAUAUGAAGCUAGAAGAGGCCUUGAGUACAGUCCUGUCAAGAUUUAGUCCUGGAACAAAGAUCAGAUCAAGACUUUGGCCUUUCCAUCCAAGACCAUUAUUUUAGAUGGUCUCAGGAUAACUGGGAUGAUGUUCUUGCAAAACUGACACGGGAGCAAGAAAAUGGAAGUAAAUCAUUUUUGAGAAUUACAUAAGCAAGAACUUUGGGUGUAGUUACUGGAAGCAAAUAGAUGACAGGACUAAACUUUUGAAGGAAUUUUACCACUAAUCAAAUCAUGAACCCAAUUCAUAUUUAUUCGCUCGAGGCAACUGUUCAACCCCAAAUUUGCAUAAGAAGAAAAUAGGACAUAAAUGCCUUAUAGCUCCCCAGUACUCACAUAGGAUGUGGCCAUGGAGAAUAAUGGACAAAGAACAUUUCAGAGGCCCAUAUCAGGCCAUAUAGAAGACAGAGGGCACAUGUUUCUCUCCGAAACUAAGUUGAGAUCUCAUCAAAAUUUCCUCCACUCUCAGGGGAGAUGGAUCAGAAAACGGCUGCUCGAUAUUUCAUCCUUUUUAUGUGUCUGUAUUGCCUAGUGUCUCACAGUUUUCUCUUUUUCCAGUGAGAGCUUAUUCUGGUUACCAGAAUUGGUAACUUUCUGGUCUACCACUGUACAUUUUGGUCCACGGUUUGUUGUGAUCAGACAACUGUGUAGAUCACAACAAACUGUGGAAAACUUAAAGAGAUGGAAAUACUAGACCACCUAACUUGAUUCCUGAGAAACCUAUAUGCAGGUCAAGAAGCAACAGUUACAAUGGGACACAGAACAAUGGACUGUUUGAAAAUUGGGAAAGAAGUAGGUUAAGGCUGUAUAUCGUCAUCCUGUUUAUUUAACUUAUAUGCGGAGUACAUGAUGUGAAAUGCUGGACUGGAUGAAUCACAAUUGGAAUCAAGAUUGCCAGGAGAAA
rnacentral:lncRNA from 1 species